rnacentral:rRNA from 1 species
GAGCCAGGAAAUAACAACGCGGCGGCAUGCCCAAUACAUGCAAGUCGAACGAGAUCUUCGGAUCUAGUGGCGCACGGGUGCGUAACGCGUGGGAAUCUGCCCUUGGGUUCGGAAUAACUUCUGGAAACGGAAGCUAAUACCGGAUGAUGACGUAAGUCCAAAGAUUUAUCGCCCAAGGAUGAGCCCGCGUAGGAUUAGGUAGUUGGUGAGGUAAAGGCUCACCAAGCCGACGAUCCUUAGCUGGUCUGAGAGGAUGAUCAGCCACACUGGGACUGAGACACGGCCCAGACUCCUACGGGAGGCAGCAGUAGGGAAUAUUGGACAAUGGGCGAAAGCCUGAUCCAGCAAUGCCGCGUGAGUGAUGAAGGCCUUAGGGUUGUAAAGCUCUUUUACCCGGGAUGAUAAUGACAGUACCGGGAGAAUAAGCUCCGGCUAACUCCGUGCCAGCAGCCGCGGUAAUACGGAGGGAGUUAGCGUUGUUCGGAAUUACUGGGCGUAAAGCGCACGUAGGCGGAUAUUCAAGUCAGAGGUGAAAGCCCGGGGCUCAAACCCGGACCUGACUUUGAAACUAGAUAGGCUUGAAUCCAGGACACGUAGUGGAAUUCCGAGUGUUAAGGUGAACAUUCGUAAAUUUCGGAAGACACCCGUUGGGAAGGCAGGUCACUGGAUUGGUUGGACCUUGAGGUCAAAACGUGUGGAAAAACAGAUAAAUACCU